UCUUGUAUGACGAAACUGCAAGUAGCAGGAAAAUUACAGGAACCAAGGAAAAGAGUUGUUUCCUCUGAAAGUUCAGGCCCUUGGAUCUGCCUUCUGGGACAUCGGACUGCAGCUUCCCAUGCUGGAGAAUGAAGCUGGCUACAGGAAGGGAAACAAAUGUGAAAACAUGGCUUUUCUACAGACUCAUACACAAUUUGUACUGGAGAACUACGAGUUUGCACAAAGUAGAGUAAGACAGACUAAUAUGACAACCUUUCUUUUGGUAACUGUGGCUGAACUUACCUGUCUGGAUACCAGGAAUAUAUUUAUAUCAUUAUAUGAAAUAUUCAUAGUUAAGCAGAAGAUGGUGGCAAAUGCAAGUCGUACAUGAUGGAUAAAAAACUGACUGAAAGCAAACUGGCAGCAAGUUUUGCUGAAUGGAAAUGACCACCUGGGAAGAGGCUACAAAUGGAAUUCCAUGAGGGCUAGGCUGUAUUUGAUUUGAACCAGAGACUUUAAACAAAGAUGUGAGUGUAGAAUUGUCAAUGCAGUGGAAGACCAGAAUACCUUACAAAGAACAGACAAGUUAGAAUACUGAAACAAUGGAAACAGAAUGAAACCUGUACAAAAUGCAGGGAUGUGCACUUGGAAGCAUUUGUGAUAUAGAGCUUUGAUUACUUGGUAUCUCCUGGAAAUAGCAGCAGAGGAGGAGCAAGACUAAGUAAUUGUCAGCUGUAGGAUGACAGCAUCAUCAUGGCACAAUCACCAAACCUGCAAGUGUUACCAUGACAUGUACCACAAAACAUAUUUCUGUAUGUGCCACAAUAAAUGGCACAGGUGAGACCCCAGCUGAAGUACUGCACAUUUCUGGUGACUUCUCUUUCAGAAGAGAUGAAUCCAAAAUGGAAUUCCUGCAGCAUUUAUCUAUAUCUUGGCACUGUAACAAUGCCUGAGGCCUGUGGUAUCAUGAUACAGCACAUGCAAAUCCUAUGUUCCAUUCCUGGAACAUAUUAUUUACACCCGGAAGGACUCUGAAGAUUAAUGGAGAGUCUCACUUACAAGAGGAGUCUUAAAAGACCUUGGCUUUCUCAGUCUAGUAAAAUGAAGGAGCCUCAUCAGCACAGGCAUCAGAGAGACAGAACUCCUGAAGCAAAAGCCAAUGUAGACAUUAAUUAAGAUAAGCUAGUCAUGAAUACAUUUAGGAUGAAAAUCAGAAAAAUACUUGUAAUCAUAAGAGCACAAAGGUCAGAAACACUGAGAGAAAUAACUGGAAUGUCAGGAGGUUGAAUUUAUAAUGUGGGAAUAAUAAAACUUGUUGUUGUAUCUUAUGACUCUUAAACCAAUUGCAAAUAUGUUGUUUCAUCUUAAAAUAUGAUGGAAGAGUUGAAUGAAUUCACAGCAGAAGAUAAAGGCAAAGAGAACACUCACCCGAAACUGCCAAAGUCAUGAUGCAGGCACAGGAAUUACACUGGACAGUGGGAUCCUCUGAUUCAAGCAGAUCCAAAAUUGGCUCAAGUAAACCCAUUUGGACAACUAAUUCUUUGUCAACUAUUCAAAAAUUCAAGAAAAAAUGGACAAAUAUAAAAAAGUAAGCAGUUUGUGAUUUUGUGGAAAGAAUACAUCAUUCAUUGACUGCUUUGGAAAUCUACAUUAUGAUUAUACAAAAUAGACCUAAGAUAGAAACAGCCAGAAAGCCACUCACAUUCCCUAGCUGGGUUUGCUUAAUUCUCCUUCAGAUGCAUGAAAAAGUGUAACAGAUGUUUGGAGCUGUUAGGCCAGAAGGUCCCAAAUCAGAUUAAUUUUGGCAAGAGCUUUCCAAUAGGCUCACAGCUUACUCAGCAACUCCCCCACCCUUUCUUUUCGUUCUGAGGUCUACCCUUUAAAUAUUUUUUUUUUCUUUGUAAAUAGUGACAUGAUAUUAUUUGCAGCAAAAUUCUUAAAAAAAGAAAAUAAGAAGAAAGUCAGCUUCACUGAAGACUGACCCUGUCUUUUGUUAUUAUGGGACUGCAGGAUGGAAUUCUUGUGGCCUGGGUGCCCAGGAGUGCAGUAGUAGAUGCAACAAGGACUUUGUUGAUGAGGUGUGGCAUGUUCAUGCCCUGUCCAUCGACAUAAACUUUAUUAGGAAGUUAUUCCUCUGCAUCUCCCAGAUUCUAUCUCAAGUCUGUUUUCCCCUUUAAUUACAGAAGCAAGUGAAUUAUACUAAGCAUUUAAACUUUUUUUUUUUUUUUCUCUGCAAGCAAUGUAAGACUAAGGUCCAGUUCAUAAAUAACCAGAAAAUUAGCACUGUCUCAUACACAGAGUUUAUUUCUAUUAGCUAUAUCCAUUGUUUGAAAGGAAAAAUGUCUGUAGAUCUAAGAAUGAGACUAGAAUUCUCACACUGGCCUGGAAAUAACUUAUCAGCCUUUGCACACAGAUCCAAGAACUCAUGUCACAUUUUAUAUAAUCUAGCUGGAGAGAUCUGAUCUAUCUUGGUGCUACCAGAAGCUACGUAUCUUGCAGUCAGAAUCAGAUUCACACUUGUCCUAUCAGGAACACAAAAAAAGGAAUCUAUAUUUGUGUAGAAGUGCCCCCCUUCUGUCUGAGUGGCUGAACAGACACUUCUUCACCUGAAGGGAGAUGUGUCAUUAAUUACUCACUAUUUCCUUCCAGCAGGAAGUUGACAAGGGACAAGGAAGACAUCUGCUGCACCUCCAAGUCAGCAGAACGUAGUAAGGCAUAGAAGGGUUCCAGAUGCUCCACAGGCAGGGGGAUGCUCACUGCAAGAGUGAGAGGAAAUAUUGUCCCAUUGUUCAUCACAGUCACAUUUUUCCUUUGAUGGACUUAAGCAUGAGGUGCUCCCUCAGGGCUGGAUACAGGAUGAAUGGUAUUCACCUUCUUUAAAAUUCCACUGCUACUAGCAAACAGGACAAGUUUCCUGAAGAGGUUUUGACUACUCAGCUACUUCAAAAACAUCAUGGGAAGGGAAGCAGUGUGCCUUGCUACCAAACAAGUCAUUCUGCCUCACAGCAGCUCCUUGCGUUGUGGCUACCAGCACUUUUUAUCCAGCAGAUAAUACAUGGGUAUUAUAAGUGACAGAAUAAUCUCUUUGAAGUAAAAUGAAAAUAAACAAAUAAAUAAAUUGCAA